AGUGAACGCUGGCGGCAUGCCUAACACAUGCAAGUCGAACGGCAGCACGGUAAGGGCUUGCUGUUACGGGUCGCGUGUGGCGGACGGGUGAAAUAUACCUCAACAUCUCCUUUUUCGGGGGGGAUAUCGUAGAGAAACUAACGCUAAUCGCACAUACGCCCAACGGGUAAGUGCAGGAGAUCUACGCCCCUUGCUCGAGUGGAUGAGCCGAUGUCGUAUUAGAUAGUUUGCGGGGUAAAGGCCCACCAAGGCCACGCAGCGUAGCUGGUCUGAGAGGAUGAUCAGCCACACUGGAACUGAGACACGGUCCAGACUCCUACGGGAGGCAGCAGUGGGGAAUUUUGGACAAAGGGCGAAAGCCUGAUCCAGCAAUGCCGCGUGAGUGAAGAAGGCCUUCGGGUUGUAAAGCACUUUUGUUGGGAAAGAAAAGCAGCAGGUUAAUACCUCGCUGUUCUGACGGUACCCAAAGAAUAAGCACCGGCUAACUACGUG
rnacentral:rRNA from 1 species